GGGUGUUUGGCCGAGUGGUUAUGGCGUCGUGUUUAGGCCGCGAUGGGUCCGCCCGCGCAGGUUCGAAUCCUGCAGCACUCA
rnacentral:tRNA from 1 species